AGAAUCAACGCUGGCGGCGUGCCUAACACAUGCAAGUCGAACGAGAAAGUGGAGCAAUCCAUGAGUACAGUGGCGACCGGGUGAGUAACACGUGACUACCUGCCCUUGAGUGGGGGAUAACCUCGGGAAACCGAGGCUAAUACCGCAUAAUAUCGAGAGAUCAAAGGAGCAAUUCGCUUUUGGAGGGGGUCGCGGCUGAUUAGCUAGUUGGCGGGGUAAUGGCCCACCAAGGCGAAGAUCGGUA
rnacentral:rRNA from 1 species